rnacentral:lncRNA from 1 species
AUGAAAGUCACCAUUCGGACUCUUCUCUUUGGCAUCACGCAGGCUCGUUUACGGUGAAGUGGAUGGCCCCGGAAAGCCUGUUUUGAAGGGAUCUACACAAUCAAGAGCGAUGUCUGGUCUUUUGGAAUACUACUGUGGGAAAUAUUCUCUCUCGGUGUCAAUCCCUACCCCGGCAUCCAAGUGGAUACGAGCUUCUACAGGUCAUUCAGAGUGGGAUUUCAGAUGGACCCACCCUUCUAUGCCACAGGAGAUGUGUGAGUGAUUAAAAGGAGGAUUUGUAAGUGCUCUGUGACCCAUGGUGUCUCAGCAAAUAUCCCAAGAGGAAGCAGUGUGGCCCAAUGGAUAGAGCAUAGGCCUGGGGAGUCAGAGGACCUUGGUUCUAAUCCCGGCUCCACCACUUACCUGCUCUAUGGCCUUGAACUUCUUGGUGCCUCAGUUUCCUCCCUGAAAAAAGGGCUGCAAUGCCUGUUCUCCCUCCCACUUAGACUGUUAACCCCAUGUGGGGCAGGGACUGGGUAAAACCUGAUUAUCUUGUAUCUAGCCCAGCACUUAGUUCAGUGCUUAGCACAUAGUAAACACUUAAAUGCCAUCACCAUCAUCAUUUCCAUCUUUGUUUUGGGGGCCACCCCAGUAUAAUGCAGCAUACCAGGUGAUUUCCCUUCAAAAGACAAAAAUUACAAAUGAAUCCCUUCCCUGCCUCGCCUCAGCCAUUUCUCCGAUCCAGUCCUCGAAAGUGACUAACUCCAUUAUUGGUAGGUACUAGGAGUACAAGCGGUGUUUAUUGAGCAGUACACUGCACCAAAUGCUUGGAGAGUUUAAACAGGGGCAUGAGACCACGAUCCUGGCCAAAGAAGCUUGUCCCUCUAUUGAGGGAGACAGACCUAGAAUCAUCCUAAGCCUCACUCACCUCGCUCCACCUUGUGACCCCCGUUUCUUCAGGUACCUGUCAUGCAGGCCUGCUGGGCAUCUGACUCCAGUAAGCGACCACGCCUUUUCCCAACUGACCUCCUUUCUGGGGCUGCCAGCUGGCAAAUGCAGAAGCAGAGGUGUACCAAAACAUGGACAGCUGCAUUUCUAAACAAACUUGUGGCUACCAAAACAGGCCAUCUGGCCCCUGCCUCUCUCCAGCCUCGGGGUGAAGCUUCACAGAGAGCGAAACGGAUGGCCCAGGCUGGUGCCAGAGAAUCAUCCAUGUCAUCCCUAAAAGGGAAGAGAUUUGCAGCUGCUCCUAAUUGGGAAUUUCCGCCAACUGUUGAAGGAAAUCUUUGUAAGUUCACUGUCCACUGCUCACAAGCCUGGAGUUCGACGUCAAUGAACGAAGUCUCCCACCACGGGCACCUGCAGCCGGAGAUCUCUCUCACACAGAUGAGGGGGGAAAUCUCACCAGAAAGACUUUCCAGCUUGUAAAUACUCAAAGUCACAGGCGCUUUAGUUGGAAGCUAACGUGGUUUUGAGCCAUGUUUUACUGUAAAUUGCCUUUUUGGGUUGUGGCAGGGUUUUAGCCAUCCUCUGAGCGCACUUUGGGUGGUAGGGGAGAGAAAAUCGUAAAUUUUAAUUGUACUUUCAAAUAAAAUGCUUGUCCUCGGAUGGGUUGCCCGAAAUCACAGACUAGGAGUCUCCUUCUCUCCGGACGGCCGUGUCUGCUCAGCAAGCUCCUGCUGAUUCCCGCGGAACUUCGACUGUAACCAGACCCGAUGAGGAUCCAGAAAGAAGUAGUAGGGAGGGGGAAGUGAACUCUGAGG